GUACUUCUUGUGCAUGGAACACGCUUAAAAGGAGGACCGAAAAGCCCCUUCAAAGCCUCAGCUUCAAGAUCUGUUUCCAUAAGAUUAAGUGCAUUCUGGACCAGAGAUCAGGUAGGUUAAAAGGUACCCAGAACAGAUCACGUUAGAAUCUUGGAGCAUAAUACAGUCCAUGGAUGUACCAAAUUUGUCUUUCUUUUCACUGUUUGGCUGGGUCUUUUUUUAAUAGUAUUUCAUUUUAUAAAAGCAGAUCACAACCUUUCAGCCUGCUGUUCUGCUUUUAUUUUAUUUGUGCUUUGUAACAGUACAGAGAACAGUUACAGAUGCCUUUUUUUUUUUUUUUUCAUAUUCUCUGACAUCUCCUUUUCCCAAGAGCUUCAAAUAUCAGGAUCUUUUGAGGGCACAAAAAAACCCCAAAAGUUCAGAAAUUCAAAUGCAAAUAGUUUGUUCUACAGAUCAACUCAAUAACCAAAAUGCAAAAUAUCUGAUCUGAUAAUAAGCUUUCUUAUUCACCUCACCAGUAUUUCUGAAGAUUCAUGUUAAAUACAAGGACUAGAAAACAGUUGAGCCAGAUGCGAUACCUUACGCCACGACACAUGUAGGUUAUGCUGGACCAAAAGGUAUUUACCCAGAGCUCAGCUCAAGGCACUCCGAUCACUGCAAAAAGCUGCGGGCCACUCAGAGCUCCCUUUGGAGUUAAUGGGAGAUGGACCUACUCAGUAAGCCAGCGAUUUGUGUCUCAAAUUCUGCACCCUAACUUAAAAGCUGACUCACUUAUGGAGGCACCUCCUUGGACCCUGCUUGAAUCCUCCCAGCUUUUGAUGAGCUGCUAGCCCUUGCUGCUCCUUACCAAGUAAUGCUAGGUUCAAGAGAUCCACCCUAUCUGAUGCCAUGCACAAUUAUUCAGCUGGCUGCCUCCACCCACUUUCAAAGAGAAUUGGCUGGGCUGCUUUCUCUGGAUCACUGAACGGUUGAGAAAUGAGUUAACACCAAAGACCCUGAGAGAGGUAAGACAUCGAAGGCUUGUAAUGCUCAGGUCUUGAUGGUACUGAAUUAGAAAUAACAAUUAUUCAUGCUCUUAAUCUUAUGACAAGCCAAGAUUGUUCCUUUGGAGGGGGAAUUUGUGAUUUUGACCACGUGAUGGGGAAGACAGAAACAGCCUUCUGACUUUAGACACAAGUAGGUAUUUCACCAAAUGUAGUAGAUGUUGAAUUAUGAGGAUUCUGGAGGACAGAAAGUUAACAUUAGCCUGUUUGGAGCACAUGGAGACAAAGCACAUGCAACUUCCAUUUUAGCAGCAUGCUUGCAAUGGUACUGCUGAAUGCUGAACUGGACUGACUCUCCGCUGUGCUGUAAAUAUGUAGCACAUACAAUGGAUUUUACAUCUUCAAGGUGCUUUUGGGAUGUAAAUUAACCAGUGGCAUUUUGAUAAUAAGAAAGAAAAAGAGACAGAGAUUAAAAAGAUCAGAAUUAUAUCAGCAGCAGUGAAUAAAUGUUCUACCUGUUUUUCUGAUACA
rnacentral:lncRNA from 1 species